rnacentral:lncRNA from 1 species
AAGUUGGCUUACAAUCUUCUUCGUCGACCUGAUGGCACUUUCAAUCGUCACUUGGCAGAGUUUCUUGAUCGCAAAGUCCCUGCUAAUGCGAACCUAGUUGAUGGGGUUUUCUCGUUUGAUGUUCUCAUUGAUCGUGGUACGAGCCUCCUGAGUCGGAUUUAUAGGCCAGCUACAGCUGAAGAGCCUCAACCGAAUAUUGCUGAACUUGAGAAGCCUGUUACAGCGGAGGUGGUCCCUGUUAUUAUUUUCUUUCAUGGCGGAAGCUUUGCACAUUCCUCGGCUAAUAGUGCUAUAUAUGACACUCUAUGCGGAGAUUGGUAAGGCUUUGUAAGGCUGUUGUGGUCUCCGUGAAUUAUCGCCGUGCACCCGAAAAUAGAUAUCCGUGUGCUUAUGAUGAUGGGUGGACUGCUCUCAAGUGGGUUAACUCUAGACCAUGGCUUCAAAGUCAGAAAGAUUCUCAGGUUCAUAUAUAUCUAGCCGGAGAUAGCUCUGGUGGUAACAUUGCACACCAUGUUGCUCUGCGAGCCAUAGAAUCGGGAAUUGAUGUAUUGGGAAAUAUAUUGCUCAAUCCAAUGUUUGGUGGACAAGAAAGAACUGAAUCUGAAAAGCGUUUAGAUGGGAAAUACUUUGUUACUCUACGAGAUCGGGACUGGUAUUGGAGAGCUUAUCUUCCUGAAGGCGAAGACAGAGACCAUCCUGCAUGUAAUCCUUUUGGACCUAACGGUAGAAGUCUCGAGGGAAUCAAAUUUCCAAAGAGUCUUGUCGUGGUUGCCGGCUUGGACCUUAUUCAGGAUUGGCAAUUGGCUUAUGUUGAAGGGCUCAAAAAAGCUGGACAAGAGGUUAAACUUUUAUACAUGGAACAGGCCACGAUUGGUUUCUACUUGUUGCCGAGUAGCAAUCACUUCCAUACUGUUACGGACGAGAUAAGCAAGUUCGUGAGUUCUGACUCUAUUAAAACAAUAGGGGAAAGAAUCAUGCAAUGUAUCGGACCUCUAUUAUGCGUAGAUUAUGUAUGUUUAUUCAAAUGUUUUUUAGGAUAAGAUGGAAAAUAAUUUGAUUAUUAAUAUUAUUUGAUAAUGAAUAUAAAAGUGGGUUGUAGUAUUGGUUGUGUGUGUGUGUGUCAAUAUUCGAGGGAAGUCCACAACAAUCCAAAAGCUGCUCCCAGUUGUUGACCCAUUGCCAAUGCUUCCAAAACUAUAGGGAGACUGUGGGCUGAGAGAGAGAUGCCUAAUAAUAAUAGCGAAAACUAAACUUCAUAGACAAUGACAGCGGCAUAUAUAGACAGAUAGAUACUAGCUGUUUGGUUUUGCUUCCUCACUCAUUUUUCCAAUAAUAUGACUUAUGUCUUGUUUUAUUUUUAUUCCAUUUCCUUUAUUUUUAAUUUCUCUUUAAGUUCUAUAUUUUAUUUUUAUUUUAAUACAUUUUAAAUAUAUUUUAAUAUAACUUUUUUUUCAGAGGAAUUGAAAUAACUAUUAGUUUGUUUUUUUUAAUUUUAGAAAUUCUUAUGAAUAAUAUUUAUUUUUUAAAUUUUUUUUAAAAACAAUCAAUUGUGCAUUUACGGUUAUUUUUUUUCAACAUUGCAUUUAUUUUUAUUUUAUUAACAGAAAUUAUUAAUUACAAUUCAAUCAUUAUUUACUCAAUUUUUGAAUAUUGUAGAGACUAAAUUGUUUUUUUAUAAAGAUAAUUUGAACCAAAUUAUUGUUAGAAUGAAUAUCCCGUCAAUAGAUUACAAUUUAAGGUUUAAAUUACUCUCUUUUUUUUUAUCUUAAUAAUGAUUAAAUUGCUCCUUAAUUCAUAUUCUAUCAAUGGAAAUAGUUAAUUUUGGUAAUGCAAAAGAAAAGUUGGGAGAAGACUUCUAAGAAACUUUAAAUAUAACCCUACUUCCUACUUUUAUCGAGUAACUGAGGAUAAGGCCCAACACAUUUACGUUGUUGUUGCCUGCUUGGUUUAUGUUUGUGCCUACAACACAUAUUGGAUGGAUUUGUUAUUUAUCUUUUACGAAUAUUAUAUCAUUUCUGUUUCUAAAUUGUUACAAUUUUGACUUGAUCUGUUGUGUUUUUUUAAGGAAACUAGCUUUUCGCGAUCAUUGUCCUUCAAAAAAUCUUAUAAAUAGUUGGGUUCUCGUUUCUGAAAACUUUUUCUAUCAAGUUUUCAAUCUUGUUUUCCUGACCUCUUUUUCCAGAUCCUUUUUCGAGAAGAACAAUACCAAUUGUGUUCCACAUUCUUUAUUCGGGUGUACGAAUAUUGAAGUUUUGUGUUAAUCUUUGAGGGCGACGUCCACUACACGAUUACACCGGCCAGGGCGGAUUUGCUUCUAAGAUGGUGAUUCUUCCAUGGCACAGUAAUUAUUUCAUUUAUUUACACAAUUUACUCUUUCCUGUUAGUGCUAACGGUUUGUUUUACAAUAAUAUGUUUCCAACAAUUAACCCUGUUAUUAAUUGAUUUUACUUGCUCACACAAUAUAGGCCUAUCUAUAGAUUAAGCGAUGAGUGUUUGAAUAAAUUUUUUUUGUCCUCAUACCAAUUUAGCUCAGUUGGAAUUUAAAUUAAAUAAUUUAAAUAUAAUUAUAAAAUUUACACGUAUUAAUAAAAAAUAUAAAAUCGAUAUUAAUCGUUGAAAUUAAUUUUCGAAGGGAAAUGACUUUAGAACUUUAUUUUUACGAUACGAAUAUAGAAUCAUGGUGGUACAUUAUGAGAUUGACAUGAUUAAUGUACUAUGCAGAAUGGGAUGAAUUAUGAGAUGGGGACAAUGCGAGAGAUGGAUGGAUGGAUGGAGAAAGGUUAAUAGGCUGAGGAAAUGAAUUUAGAUUCAAGAAAACGAGAGUUUACCUAAUUUUUUUUAGAAUAUAUAGUACUGGUAUUCAAACCAGCAAUGGUAAUAUCCUCAAGUGUCACCAUGUACACAUCAGUAUUAAGUUUAGUUGUCUCAAUACAGUCUUCUUUUAACUGAAGAUGUCAAUAAGCACCAUCCAAAGUCUUGAUGUUCUCAUUGUGAGUAAGGUGCACUUUCAUUUGCCCCCAAUUAUGAGGUAAGGAUCGAAUAAGGGCACGAACCAGAUGAUCAUUGGACUGUGAGCUACAUCUUUCAGCUCACUUAUCAUAUUAGACACUUCUCUUACAUGCUGCAUCAUAUUAUGAUUAAAUCAUUUAUUGUUGCCACUAAACUUCAUCUUAAGAGCAAUCCCCAUUUCUUUUGCUAUUUCAUUCUUACCAAACUCACGUAUGAUGUCAUUGUCUAUACUACUUAGCAAUAUAAUGCGAGCAAUGGAAUUUAUCUUUUUCUAGCCAUCUUAAAUCUCUCAAUCCCUUCUAUGUUGGGUCGUAUUCUCAUUUUCAAACUCUUUCUGAACAUUAUUUAGAACCUCGUAAAUCUCUUAUUACUCUAAAUCAUACUGAAUUUUUUUUUUUACUCUAGAUUUCAAGAUUUCCCUUUUAAUUUUCAACUUUUUUUUCUGUUAUUUUUAAUUUGCAUUAGCUUUACUUGUAUAUUAAAAAAAAUGAAUUCACAUAGUAGGCUUUAAGGUAAAGAAAAAGAAAACCCACACACUUACUAAAAAAUUGAUAGUUAAUCUUAUAUUUGAUCUAAUCUCAAAGUUUGAAUCAAUUUACUUUAAAUUUAAUAAUAAUAAUAUUAUUUAAUUUUAAUAUUAAAAUAUUAAAUAAUAUAAAAAAUAAAUUAUUAACAUUUUAAAAAUCAAUAUUAUUAUUAAAUCUGCUUGGUGCCAUGAGUUAAUAAGAUACAAACGUAAUUGAAAAUGAAAAAUAAAAUAAAAUAAAUAAAUUUUGAAAUAGAAAUAACAAAUAUUUUUAUAUCUUAAAAUGUAUAUUUUUAUAAUAUAUUUUUAAUAAAUGACUUAACUAUUUAUCUAGAAAAACCUCUUUUAAAAAAUGUAUUAUUUUUUAAAUGAUUGCCCACUUUCAUAAAAAUAUUUUUAUUUAAAAAAGUUAAUGUAAUUUUUGGUAUCUAAAUUUGACAAUUAGAUUAAUUUUGAUACGUAUAUUUUUUUUAUGGUCCGCUUUACUAUCUAAAUUUAGCAAUUAAAUCAUUUGUAAUCUUGAACUUGGAAAAUGUAAAACAUUGAUGAUGUGAUACUUUAAUGUUACAAUACGCAUCACUUAAAAAAAUAAUAUAAUUUUUAAGUGAUGAUGUGAUACAACUUCAAUAUGUCACUGAAGACUAAAAUAGACCGUUGCUAAUUUCAAGAACCAUAAUAGAUAAAAGGGGUAAAGUACAAAAAAAAUAGUUAUUUUUGUUUGCUUCAGAUUACAUUUUGGUCGCUUAUGCUUGAAAUGUUACGUUUUAGUUACGUUAUGGUUUUGUUACGAAGUGGUCACUCUACCGUUAAGUUCUGUUACCUCCCUAACGGCGAUCUUACGUGGCAAUCAAAAUUAAAUUUAUUUAAUUAAAAACCUAUUUUCACUCCAGUAACUAGAUAUCUAAGUUGGCAUUUAAAACCCAUUUAGACUACCACGUAGGACUGCCAUUAGGGAGGUGACGGAGUCUAACGAUAGAGUGACUAUUUCGUAACAAACGAUAACGUAAGUGAUUAAAACGUAACAUUUCAGACAUAAUUGACUAAAAUGUAAUCUGAGACAAACAAAAGUGACUAUUUUUAUACUUUACCCUAGAUAAAAGAUACAAAUAUUAAAAUGAAUUUAAUUAACAAAUUCAAGAUAAAAAAACAUUUUUAUUACUUUUCUUUUUCUAAUAUUUUUAAUAAUUUUUAUUACAUUUAAGUGUUCUAAUUUUUAAUAAUAUAUUUCAAAGUUUUGGUUUGUUUCACAUUUAAAAUUUUAAUUUAAAUUGAGAUUUUUCCAGUAUAGAUUAAAUAUAAGAAUACAUAAACAUUCAAAAUAAGCACAAAUUUUAGUAAGGAUAAAAAUUCAUGAAUAGCUCAUAAAAACGACAACAGCCUAAAUAAGAAACGGCAUCGAUUUUCCGCCAUUUUCCUUUCCCAUGGUACGGUAUUUCCGUGGUUUGGAUGUCUAAAAUAGGUGUAAAGUGUCAUUUGAUAUAAAUAAUCAUCUCAGGAAGUCAAAGAGGAGAUCUGACGGACUCCGUUUGUCCUCACGUAACCUGACGUCGGCGCAUGCGGGGUAGCUUUUGUUUUGUCCCCUUUUUUGUUUCUUCCUCUAAAUAAAAUCAAAUUUAAAAUUAAGAAAAAAACCAUUUCCGUUAUCGUUAGUUUCCAACUUAUUAGAACGAGACCAUUUUGUUUAAGGGGAUUAUUUUUUCAAGAUAUAAUUGCGAGGUGAAAAAUUCUAUCGUACCACAACCACCGCCAAUCUAAAGGCAUAUUCAAUAUAAAUUAGCCAAUAAGUUAUUGGUAAGGGAAACAGUCCGUGGGUUGGACAAAUUUUUUUCUUAUAAAUUCGUAUAAUUUAAUAAUUUACUCGAUCAAUUUAGCUCUUACUGAAUUUAUUCAAACUGAUUUAGCAUAGACUGAAAUUGGAUAAAAGAAUCGGAAAGAUAUUUGUAAUAAGAUUUAGAUUGCAUUUUGCUCUUUCUAUUAAAAAGAUAGGUAAAUUAAUCAUUGUAUGUUAAAUCAAAGAGCAAAUUGGUCAUUUGUUAAAAACUUCAUCUAUUUUUACUAUUAAAAAUUAGUCUUUGUAUGUCAGCACGAUAUACAGGCAGUACAACUUGUGUCGCUAUCCAGUUAUUCCAUCAGAUACAUUAGUUUUUAAUUGUACAAAAUAGAUGAAUCUUUUAAAAGGACUAAUUUGUUCUUUGAUUUAAUGCACAAUGAUUAAUCUACUAUUUUUUAAAUAGAUGGAGCAAAAUGCAAUCUGACUACUAGUAUAAGAGCCUUUAUGGUGCUUUUACCUUGAAAUGAUUCAAUCUAUUGAAUUGAAUUAGAUUGGAAUUGGUUUUUAGUUAAAGUUUUAUAUUAUAAACUUUUUAGACAAUGUGUCUAGAAUUAGACAUAACUCCUCAAACCCUUAAAUAAGAGGAUAAAUGCACUUUGACGCACUCGAAUCCAUAUCCUUUUACACUGACAACAAUGUCAAUGCCAAAUGAACUAAGACUCAAUCGACUUAUAUUAUACAAUAUAUUUGUUUUUAAUAUAAAAAACCCAAAUUUUAAUACUUAAUUUUAUCCUUUUACACUGACAACAAUGUCAAUGCCAAAUGAACUAAGACUUAAUCGACUUAUAUUAUACAAUAUAUUUGUUUUUAAUAUAAAAAACCCAAAUUUUAAUACUUAAUUUUAUCAUUUGAACCAAAAAAAUUAACCAAAAUCUUUUUUAUAUUAUAUAUUAUAAACAUGUUUUUAAAAUGAAAAAUUACAUAUAUUAAAAAAAAUUAAAUUGAUGAACUCAAUUACAAAAUUUCAUGAUGAAGAACCUAUCCACAUAACUUUUUUUAUACAUCACAAUUUUUAAGGCCCUACAAAAUCAUUUUUAACCAUUAUAAUUUACUUAAUUCAACUGAUUGAAUUGAAAAUUAUUUGUUAUUUUUUUAUAAUUAAAGAUAAUAUAACUCAAAUUCAUUUUUAUAUUUUUAAAAUUCGAAUAUAUGAUUUUUUUUAUUAUAAAAUUCGUCAACGGAUGUAUUUAUAUAAGAUUUAUAUUCUGUUCUUUUUAAUUUAAAAUUUAAAAUUUAAAAUUUAUAUAGAUCUCUAAUAUAAAUAUAUAUUUGUGUUAAAUAUGAAAAACUAAAAUAAAAAAAAUUGUACAAAUUUCGAUAAAACAACAUCUAUAGGACCCAGUAAACAGUUUUCUUUCGGCCGAUCAAUUUGUCAUAUCUCAUGUCCUUAUUCACAUUAGGCGUACUUUAGUCAUUCUCCGUUUACAGCUUCUAACCUGCGCCACAAUUUUCCUAUCCUUCACCCGCACCACACAUAUAAUAACCUCCCUGUUUUAAUUUAUUUAUUGGUGUGAGAUUUAUCAUUUUAUUGUUCACUCUGUUUUUCUGCUCUCUUAUGAACUUAUAAUUAAGCCAAAAAGAAAAAAAAAAGGUUUUAGUGAAUUUGAUAAUGAGCUGAACAGCAGAAAAAAGAGGGAUCUUUGGAGUGGAAAAUAGAAUAAGAAUAGAAUCUUUGUUGUUUGUUUCUUCUUUAAAAAAAAAAACAAAAUUGGUUUUGUGAUAUGAAUUGUGGGUUUCUGGGUUGUUCUUCGAAAGGAUCUGUUUGAAGCUUUGGGGUUUUGUUUUUGAGUCUUUAAAGAAGGGGGGAAAUGGCUAGAAGUAAUGAAGUCAACCUCAAUGAAUGCAAGGUACGAUCUUUAUUCUUUGUUUUUAUUUGUCAAUUUCUAUUAUUUCUAUCUAGAGUUGGAUUGUCAAACUUGGUUUUUAAUGGAUUUGUAAUAUAUUUUAUGCCUUUUUUGGUUAAAUGAAACCCAGUGUAGCGGUGUUUUUUUUUGGUUAGAGCUUGGUAGUCUUAUCAAGUCAUUUCUAUUUGAAGAUCUUUUCUUAAAACUUUGGGGGCAUUUAGGGUUGUUGAAACUUUAUUAUUUUAUUGUUUUUGGGGUAUGUGUCUAUUUAAUUUGUGGAUUGUUUUGCUUUUGGUUUUUAGUGAUUUAGGUUUGGAGCUAUUGAUUGUGUUUCUCCAAGAAAGUUGGAGUUUUCCGAUAGUAGUUCAUUCUUUGGAGUAGUGUUAUUUAAGAGGCUUGAUUAGAUUGUGAAGAUCAUAUAAAUCAGUGAAGGAAUCUAUAUGUUGUUGGUUUGGAUCUGCUUGCUUUGAUGGAUAGUUUUGUCUUUAACACCUUGUGAAAAAUUAUGGAGUUCAUAGCAUGUAUUUCAUACGGACUUUUGUGUAUAUUGACAAUUGACAAAGUGAGUUAAGUAAACAAUGGAUUUGAUCUUUUCUUUGCCUUUAACACUGAAUAGAUAGUGGUUUCCCUAAAUAUAUGUGUUGCUUGGAAGAUGAAGCUCUUUGUUUUGAUUUUUUUUUCUUUGCCUUUGUCUCUGAAUAGAUGGUGGUUCCCCUAAAUACGUGGGUCCUCAUCUCCAAUUUUAAGUUGGCUUACAAUCUUCUUCGUCGACCUGAUGGCACUUUCAAUCGUCACUUGGCAGAGUUUCUUGAUCGCAAAGUCCCUGCUAAUGCUAACCCAGUUGAUGGGGUUUUCUCGUUUGAUGUUCUCAUUGAUCGUGGUACGAGCCUCCUGAGUCGGAUUUAUAGGCCAACUACAGCUGAAGAGCCUCAACCGAAUAUUGCUGAACUUGAGAAACCUGUUACAGCGGCGGUGGUCCCUGUUAUUAUUUUCUUUCAUGGUGGAAGCUUUGCACAUUCCUCGGCUAAUAGUGCUAUAUAUGACACUCUAUGUCGGAGAUUGGUAAGGCUUUGUAAGGCUGUUGUGGUCUCCGUGAAUUAUCGCCGU